rnacentral:rRNA from 1 species
CCUACGGGAGGCAGCAGUGGGGAAUAUUGGACAAUGGGCGAAAGCCUGAUCCAGCCAUGCCGCGUGUGUGAAGAAGGCCUUCGGGUUGUAAAGCACUUUCAGUGGGGAAGAAAGCCUUGGGGCUAAUACCCUCGAGGAAGGACAUCACCCACAGAAGAAGCACCGGCUAACUCCGUGCCAGCAGCCGCGGUAAUACGGAGGGUGCGAGCGUUAAUCGGAAUUACUGGGCGUAAAGCGCGCGUAGGCGGUCUGAUAAGCCGGUUGUGAAAGCCCCGGGCUCAACCUGGGAACGGCAUCCGGAACUGUCAGGCUAGAGUGCAGGAGAGGAAGGUAGAAUUCCCGGUGUAGCGGUGAAAUGCGUAGAGAUCGGGAGGAAUACCAGUGGCGAAGGCGGCCUUCUGGACUGACACUGACGCUGAGGUGCGAAAGCGUGGGUAGCAAACAGGAUUAGAUACCCGGGUAGU